AAAUUACUCCCUCCGUCGCAAAAUUCUUGUCUUAGAUUUGUCUAGAUACGGAUGUAUCAAGUCACAUUUUAGUAUUAGAUACAUCCGUAUCUAGACAAAUCUAAGACAAGAAAUUUGGGACAGAGGGAGUAGUUG
rnacentral:pre_miRNA from 1 species